AAUUAUCCCGGAGAAUUGUUUAUAUUAAAAACAGGCUAAAAGUUGUUCGAACUGUGAUUGCCCCAAAAAUUGGAGGAUAAACAUUCCUCUUGUCAAUAUUUCUUUGGAAAUCCUCUG
rfam:Equus caballus chromosome 4, whole genome shotgun sequence.